rnacentral:sRNA from 1 species
UGCCAGGCAAAGUCUUUCCGUCCUU